rnacentral:rRNA from 1 species
UACAGAGGGUGCAAGCGUUAAUCGGAAUUACUGGGCGUAAAGCGUGCGCAGGCGGUUCGUCGUGUCUGAUGUGAAAGCCCCGGGCUCAACCUGGGAAUGGCAUUGGAAACUGGCGGACUAGAGUGUGGCAGAGGGGGGUGGAAUUCCGCGUGUAGCAGUGAAAUGCGUAGAGAUGCGGAGGAACACCGAUGGCGAAGGCAGCCCCCUGGGCUAACACUGACGCUCAGGCACGAAAGCGUGGGGGAGCAAACAGGG